UCACCUGGGGCUCAGAGCCGUGGAGUCAGCCAUCUCUGGACUGAAACCUUGGGCCCCUAAUAGCUUCUCUACCUCUAAAAUUGUUGUUGUCAGGUCUUCUGGUCACAGCAGUGAAAAAGUGAGUAAAACGUGCACUGAUGAUACUCCCUGGAGCCUAAUCCAGGGAGACCGUGGGGAGUUAUGAACAGUUUUAAGCUGGGUGCUAUGAUGCAUAUCUGUAAUCCCAGCGACUCAGGAGGCUGAGGCAGGAGAAUCUCAAGUUCAAGGCCAGUGUCAGCAACUUAGCAAGACCCUGUCUCAAACAAUACAAAGGGUUGGGAAUGUAGUUCAGUGGUAGAGUACUUUCCUAGCAUAUGUCAGGCCCUGGGUUCCAUAUGCCAGUGCAGGAGAAAAAAACAAAUCUAGUAUAUGUAGAAAGACCAUCUUCAUAGAUAAGACGUCAUGUACCUCCGUUAAAGAAUUUCCAUGGCUGCUUUUGCCCCAGUGGAUCAGUAAGAGCAUCUAUAGAUAAACCCCUCAAUAUCAGCCUUAUCCAUUCAACUUACUGUAAUCACUGUCAUUGACAAAUGGUCAUCCCUCCCACAAUCCCCAGCCCUAAUUUUGAAAGUAUAGGAGACUGUUCCUCUCAAAGACUUGAGAAAGAUGUUCUAUGCUGGUGUCUGGGUCAUGGUUUCAUUGUCUACAUGGAAGGGUUCUGCUUGUGGACCAGUGCCAUCCACAUAGCUUCUCUGUGGAGAUCUUCACCCAUCUGCUGGGAUUCCUGUGAUCACCAUCUCUUUUGACUUUUUCUAAAUUUUUUUUUGAUGUCUGGGGCCCUGUGGUUGGGGCCCUUCACCCCAAUAUGGCUCUACCACCUAAAGGGUCCAUAUUGUAGGUGCCUUAUCU
rnacentral:lncRNA from 1 species